rnacentral:sRNA from 1 species
AACAUGUAUUGCCCUUUAGCUCUUUUGUAAUCUGGAUGUACCUCAAAAAGAAUAUUAAGACUGUGGUGAUGAGCGACCUUCCUC